GACGAACGCUGGCGGCGUGCUUAACACAUGCAAGUCGAACGGAAAGGCCCUGCUUGCAGGGUACUCGAGUGGCGAACGGGUGAGUAACACGUGGGUGAUCUGCCCUGCACUUCGGGAUAAGCCUGGGAAACUGGGGCUAAUACCGGAUAGGAGCCAUUUUGAGUGUGAUGGUUGGAAAGUUUUUUCGGUGUAGGAUGAGCUCGCGGCCUAUCAGCUUGUUGGUGGGGUAAUGGCCUACCAAGGCGGCGACGGGUAGCCGGCCUGAGAGGGUGGACGGCCACAUUGGGACUGAGAUACGGCCCAGACUCCUACGGGAGGCAGCAGUGGGGAAUAUUGCACAAUGGGCGCAAGCCUGAUGCAGCGACGCCGCGUGGGGGAUGACGGCCUUCGGGUUGUAAACUCCUUUCGCUAGGGACGAAGCUUUUUGUGACGGUACCUAGAUAAGAAGCACCGGCUAACUACGUG
rnacentral:rRNA from 1 species